CUUCUGCAAGCGUUUCAUCUCCACAAGCUUCCAAACAAAGAGAAUUAAUGGAAAGUGAGAUUUGCAAGGUUUAUUCUCCUUGUUGUCCUCGGAUAAGUUCACGAUGAAACAGCAAAUAAAAACCCUUAUCUGGUUAAUGGGUGUUUCUCUCUCUAUUGAUUCUAUAAUUUUAGUACAUGCUUAUGGCAACAAAUAUAGAUCCCUCUUUCCAAUAUAACUCCCUCUCUGCAGCCCUUUCAAUCCAUGGCUCGCUUUGAGAUCAACUACCUCAAUCAUCUCCAUCUACAUCGGUAUAGGCGGUUUGGGCUUCUGGGUUCUCGGAUAUGACCAUGGUUCCUGCGCAAACCCUCUCUAAACGGAAACAACAACAAAAUCUUCUUUUUUACGGCGGUUAUGCUGGUUGUGGCGGCGGCGGUUUUUCGGACAGCUUUGGUCUUAUGAGCCGAUUAGAAGGUUAUGACUAUUGUAUUAGUGAAGCUUGCUUAGGAUCUGAUCUAGUGCCUAAUCCUCCCAUGGCGGAAGAUGAAUCCAGAACUAACAGUCUUAAUGAACCUGCUGGCUCCAGCUCGAAAGAUAAUAUUCAAGAAGACAGAGAUGAAGGGUGGCUCCAAUUGAGCAUAGGCGGUCACACGACAAGUCAUGAAAGCAAGCAUGCUCACCACCAACUGGAUCCAACGGCUACAAGAGGAGGAUUGAUCGAGCUUGAUCUAUUACCAGGUAGCACCUCACACCAAGGGAGGCCAUUGAGCGCUCCUAUUUUUCAUGUUCCUGCUGAGUUUAGAGCUCCUGCGAGGCCACUGAUGAGUAUUGCAGGAGGCAGUAACUAUACUACUACUUUAUUCUUUCAACACCAACCAGGAAGCAGCUCCACGUAUCCUCACCAUCAAGAGAUUAACUGGGCAUUUAGGCCUAUGACUCAUAAUAUAGCAACGGCUUCUUCUCCUUCUCCUUCUCAAUCUUCUUCUUCUUCUCUGAUGCCACUGGGGUCUUAUUUUUCGCGUCCCUUUCAAGUCCAUAGUGGAAUAGAUGUUGCUGGACCAAGCUCCGACUUUAGAGUCAUUGAUCCUCCAAGGAGACCCCAUUCUGGCAUUUGGUUUACGCUACAAGCGUCUCAAAACCAAGCCCAAGAACCGUUCUUGCCUCAAAUAUCCAAGAGCUACCUGAGAAUCAAGGACGGGAGGAUGACAGUUCGAUUAUUAAUGAAGUAUCUGGUUAACAAGCUGAAACUGGAUAGCGAAUCAGAGGUAGAGAUAACAUGUAGAGGGCAACAGCUCCUACCUUUCUUGACGUUGCAGCAUGUAAGAGAUAACAUAUGGAGCCCAAGAGAUGCACUCACUUUGCUUCCACACUCCUCAACCACUGAUCAUGUCAUGGUGCUGCACUAUGCUAGGACUCCUCUUCACAAGUGAUCAAAACAAAACAUAUAUAAUUCAAUUUUAUUUCUCUCUUUCAUCACUUGUAUCAUUGUUAAGUUAUCAAACCCCACUCCCUUUUCUUCUUCUUUUUCUUUUUUAUUUAUUGUUUCUUCUAAUGGGCUCUGUGCG
rnacentral:misc_RNA from 1 species